rnacentral:rRNA from 1 species
UACGUAGGGUGCGAGCGUUGUCCGGAAUUAUUGGGCGUAAAGAGCUCGUAGGCGGUCUGUCGCGUCGGCUGUGAAAACCUGGGGCUUAACUCCGGGCCUGCAGCCGAUACGGGCAGACUAGAGUUCGGCAGGGGAGACUGGAAUUCCUGGUGUAGCGGUGAAAUGCGCAGAUAUCAGGAGGAACACCGGUGGCGAAGGCGGGUCUCUGGGCCGAAACUGACGCUGAGGAGCGAAAGCGUGGGGAGCAAACAGG